GACGAACGCUGGCGGCGUGCUUAACACAUGCAAGUCGAACGGAAAGGCCCUGCUUUUGUGGGGUGCUCGAGUGGCGAACGGGUGAGUAACACGUGAGUAACCUGCCCUUGACUUUGGGAUAACUUCAGGAAACUGGGGCUAAUACCGGAUAGGAGCUCCUGCUGCAUGGUGGGCGUUGGAAAGUUUCGGCGGUUGGGGAUCGACUCGCGGCUUAUCAGCUUGUUGGUGAGGUAGUGGCUUACCAAGGCUUUGACGGGUAGCCGGCCUGAGAGGGGGACCGGCCACAUGGGGACUGAGAUACGGCCCAGACUCGUACGGGAGGCAGAAGUGGGGAAUAUUGCAGAAUGGGCGGAAGCCUGAUGCAGCAGCGCCGCGUGCGGGAUGACGGCCUUCGGGUUGUAAACCGCUUUCGCCUGUGACGAAGCGUGAGUGACGGUAAUGGGUAAAGAAGCACCGGCUAACUACGUG
rnacentral:rRNA from 1 species